rnacentral:rRNA from 1 species
AUGAAUGUCGGAGUGGCCCAUAACCGAAUGCCGCCGUCAACUUUCGCUACUGAGAUGGCGUCCUCCGAAAGGGUACUUGGGUGCCCAACUCUCAAAAGUAAAUGGGUACCCAUGUUUGGGCCCAUGGUUGUCUCAGCGUCGCUGACCAGUAAAAGAAAUAUAUCUUCCUUCUCCCAUAGCCGCCUACAGAGCAGGAGCUCAUGGCGAUGCAGAUGUCGACAUAGCCGCCUACAGAGCAGGAGCUCAUGGCGAUGCAGAUAUCGGCCGCUGGAGGUGUUGAAGUCGAGUUUUUGUCAGAUCCCGUCGACAGGUACACUUUUCCGCUACCAGUUUCUCUUCCCGUCGACAGGUACACGUUUAGCAGCUGAUCUGUUGUAUCCUUCUCGAAAAAGAUUUCCACUGCGAGAUCUCGCUGCCGCACAGCCCUUGGUUGCUUACGAGAUGUACAAAUCCAUGGAGUGUGAGCCUGCUGAGUCCAGCAUUGGUGAUGUGGAGACGCUCCGGUCAACAGUAAUUGCAAUGCGAUUGCCUUGUCUGCAGCAGCAUCUGAGCAUUCUACGGGCAAAGACACCCCUGAAGCCCCAGGCUGGAGGAAGAGAAUGCGAGUCGGAAGUUCAUCUAGCGAGCGCCACCCAUGCGCUGACAGGAUGA